GGCCCUGUAGAGCAGCGGAGUGCUCGCAACCCUGUCACGGUUGAGGUCGUGGGUUCGAAUCCCAUCAGGGUCGCCA
rnacentral:tRNA from 1 species